GGGGGUGUAAUUGGUUUUCGACAGCAAAUUAGGAGUAUAAAAAGCGAGUAGUGGAUUUUCGUUACCACUUAAAAAAACGAAAAUUAAAUAUAAACGCUAGAAAUAACGAAGUAGCUUUAGCUGCCUAGGUGCGGCUACGUUCUUAUAAAAAGGCCUACGAUUUUAUAAGGGCGCAAAAUUAGUAGGAAACGAAACUAUUUUUUGCUCCAAAAAUAGUAGGUAAAUAGGAGCUACUAAUAAAAUAAGUUUGUUUGUUCAUUUAUUUUAUUAGGAAAAUUAAGAACAAACUGCACUCGGAGAAAUUUAUAUGGAAGAUUUGUUGGACAGGAGUUCGACUCUCCUCACCUCCACCA
rnacentral:tmRNA from 1 species